AAAAUCCGCUGUAACAAUUCUGAGGCGUGAUGGGGAAGGUCAUUAAGACCGAAGUACAUGAUUCCAUGCUUCCAAGAAAAGCAUCUAGAGAGAGAAGUAGUGCCCGUACCGCAAACCGACACAGGUAGAUGAGGAGAGAAUCCUAAGGCCGGCGGAAGAAUUGCAGUUAAGGAACUAGGCAAAUUGACCCCGUAAGUUCGCGAGAAGGGGUGCCUGCGAGAGCAGGCCGCAGAGAAUAGGCCCAAGCAACUGUUUAGCAAAAACACAGGUCUCUGCUAAAGCGUAAGCUGAUGUAUAGGGGCUGACGCCUGCCCGGUGCUGGAAGGUUAAGGGGAACACUUAGCGCAAGCGAAGGUGUGAACUUAAGCCCCAGUAAACGGCGGCCGUAACAAUAACGGUCCUAAGGUAGCGAAAUUCCUUGUCAGGUAAGUUCUGACCCGCACGAAUGGCGUAAUGACUUGGGCACUGUCUCAACUGCAAAUCCGGCGAAGUUGUAGUGCGAGUGAAGAUGCUCGCUACCCGCGAUUGGACGGAAAGACCCCGUAGAGCUUUACUGUAGCUUAGCAUUGAAUUCCGGUAUUGUCUGUACAGGAUAGGUGGGAGACUGGGAAACUAGGGCGUCAGCCUUAGUGGAGUCAACCUUGGGAUACCACCCUGACAGUACUGGGGUUCUAACAGGACGCCAUGAAGCUGGUGACUGGACAUUGUUAGGUGGGCAGUUUGACUGGGGCGGUCGCCUCCUAAAAAGUAACGGAGGCACCCAAAGGUUCCCUCAGAACGGUCGGAAAUCGUUCGUAGAGUGCAAAGGCAGAAGGGAGCCUGACUGCGAGACCUACAAGUCGAGCAGGGACGAAAGUCGGGCUUAGUGAUCCGGUGGUACCUCGUGGGAGGGCCAUCGCUCAACGGAUAAAAGCUACCUCGGGGAUAACAGGCUGAUCUCCCCCAAGAGUCCACAUCGACGGGGAGGUUUGGCACCUCGAUGUCGGCUCGUCGCAUCCUGGGGCUGUAGUAGGUCCCAAGGGUUGGGCUGUUCGCCCAUUAAAGCGGCACGCGAGCUGGGUUCAGAACGUCGUGAGACAGUUCGGUCCCUAUCCGUCGCGGGCGUAGGAAAUUUGAGAGGAGCUGUCCUUAGUACGAGAGGACCGGGAUGGACUGACCUCUGGUGCACCAGUUGUUCUGCCAAGAGCAUGGCUGGGUAGCUAAGUCGGGAAGGGAUAAACGCUGAAAGCAUCUAAGCGUGAAGCCCCCCUCAAGAUGAGAUUUCCCAUAGCAUAAGCUAGUAAGACCCCUUGAAGAACACAAGGUUGAUAGGUCAGAGGUGGAAGUGCGGUAACGUAUGUAGCUGACUGAUACUAAUAGGUCGAGGGCUUGACCAA
rnacentral:rRNA from 1 species